UACGGAGGGUGCGAGCGUUGUUCGGAAUUACUGGGCGUAAAGCGCGUGUAGGCGGCCUGCUAAGUCUGAUGUGAAAGCCCGGGGCUCACCCCCGGAAGUGCAUUGGAAACUGGUAGGCUCGAGUCCCGGAGAGGAGGGUGGAAUUCCUGGUGUAGCGGUGAAAUGCGUAGAUGUCAGGAGGAACACCGGUGGCGAAGGCGGCCCUCUGGACGGUGACUGACGCUGAGACGCGAAAGCGUGGGGUUGAAACAGU
rnacentral:rRNA from 1 species